GAAGCUCAACUGUCACAACUUUGCAUUCUUCAGAAUCUCAGGAGAUAUCCUCUGGGCUUUGUGUUUUGAACUGAUCAAAGUUCUUGCUCCUCAAGAUUCUGGCUUUUUCCGAGAAGAGAAAACUGAAAUAAAGGAAAAGAUGACUUCUGGUUUCCUGACAGCCUGGUCUCAGGCAAAGAAGACUAAGCAGGAGAAGGUCUAACUUUGAAAUGUCAAUGGGUAAAUUUUCUGCAGCUG